GGGGAGCACUGUGGUGGGCGCGCCGGGAUUGCAGAGAAGGGCGCAAAAGUCCCCACCCGUGCCUGCGCUCCUAUAGACUCAGCAACUACAGGGGACGGGGAAAAGAGGCCGGAGAGGGACUGGCCUGCACGGUGGCUUAGUGGUCUUCCUACAGAAUAUCUGCAGAGCGUGGGGUCAACCGAUCCCCCCUCCUCCCAGGCAGAUGCAGGACUUAACACAGUCCCUGAAACUGCGGGGGGAUGUGCCAUUCUAGUGAGGCUGCGAGGCAGGGAGUGCCAGCCAGUGGUCACAGUCUAGCUCUGGAAAGAUCACUCUGGCUGUGGUGAGGACAGUGGGGUGGGGUGAUGGCCACGAAGUGGUGCCACUAGGGUCUCCUUUCAGAGAGGGCCUUCCUGCCCAGCCUCCAGCUGCCAGCUCCUACAGAGUCUGCCUCAGCUGCAGAAAACCACCUUACUGCAGGUCUUGGCCUUCCUGGUGGCUGAGGGCAUGGGGUCCAAAGGCCUGGUCAGCUCUGCUAGUGCAGGACUCUGGUAGGAAACUGUCACUUCAGAGAAGCUCACACUUCAUACUCCCUACCUCAACCAGAUACCAGCUUCAUCUGCUAGCACCAAAGCAGGGUUCUGGAGAUCCUAAGCAACCAGCAGAGACACCAGCGGUCACUGCCAGGACUUGCCUCUGGCCACGAGAAGCCCCAGGAGGUGUCUAGCUGGAUGGAGGCCUGUUCAUAUUUGCAUUUUGCUGGGAGAUGACUG